GGUGAGAUGGCCGAGUUGGUCCAUGGCGCGAGGUUAAGGUCACCUUAACGCGACUUCCUCGUGGGGAAACCCUCGUGGGUUCGAAUCCCACUCUCAUCA
rnacentral:tRNA from 1 species